GUUAUAUGGUCAAGUGAAGAAGCGCAUACGGUGGAUGCCUUGGCAGUCAGAGGCGAUGAAAGACGUGGUAGCCUGCGAUAAGCUUCGGGGAGUCGGCAAACAGACUUUGAUCCGGAGAUCUCUGAAUGGGGGAACCCACUCAGCAUAAGCUGAGUAUCUUGUACUGAAUACAUAGGUGCAAGAGGCGAACCAGGGGAACUGAAACAUCUAAGUACCCUGAGGAAAAGAAAUCAACCGAGAUUCCCUUAGUAGUGGCGAGCGAACGGGGACUAGCCCUUAAGUGGCUUUGAGAUUAGCGGAACGCUCUGGAAAGUGCGGCCAUAGUGGGUGAUAGCCCUGUACGCGAAAAUCUCUUAGUCAUGAAAUCGAGUAGGACGGAGCACGAGAAACUUUGUCUGAAUAUGGGGGGACCAUCCUCCAAGGCUAAAUACUACUGACUGACCGAUAGUGAACCAGUACCGUGAGGGAAAGGCGAAAAGAACCCCGGAGAGGGGAGUGAAAUAGAACCUGAAACCGUAUGCGUACAAGCAGUGGGAGCCUACUUUGUUAGGUGACUGCGUACCUUUUGUAUAAUGGGUCAGCGACUUAUAUUCAGUGGCGAGCUUAACCGAAUAGGGGAGGCGUAGCGAAAGCGAGUCUUAAUAGGGCGUUUAGUCGCUGGGUAUAGACCCGAAACCGGGCGAUCUAUCCAUGGGCAGGUUGAAGGUUAGGUAACACUGACUGGAGGACCGAACCGACUACCGUUGAAAAGUUAGCGGAUGACCUGUGGAUCGGAGUGAAAGGCUAAUCAAGCUCGGAGAUAGCUGGUUCUCCUCGAAAGCUAUUUAGGUAGCGCCUCAUGUAUCACUGUAGGGGGUAGAGCACUGUUUCGGCUAGGGGGUCAUCCCGACUUACCAAACCGAUGCAAACUCCGAAUACCUACAAGUGCCGAGCAUGGGAGACACACGGCGGGUGCUAACGUCCGUCGUGAAAAGGGAAACAACCCAGACCGUCAGCUAAGGUCCCAAAGUUAUGGUUAAGUGGGAAACGAUGUGGGAAGGCUUAGACAGCUAGGAGGUUGGCUUAGAAGCAGCCACCCUUUAAAGAAAGCGUAAUAGCUCACUAGUCGAGUCGGCCUGCGCGGAAGAUGUAACGGGGCUCAAACCAUACACCGAAGCUACGGGUAUCACUUAGGUGAUGCGGUAGAGGAGCGUUCUGUAAGCCUGUGAAGGUGAGUUGAGAAGCUUGCUGGAGGUAUCAGAAGUGCGAAUGCUGACAUGAGUAACGACAAUGGGAGUGAAAAACUCCCACGCCGAAAGACCAAGGUUUCCUGCGCAACGUUAAUCGACGCAGGGUUAGUCGGUCCCUAAGGCGAGGCUGAAAAGCGUAGUCGAUGGAAAACAGGUUAAUAUUCCUGUACUUCUAGUUAUUGCGAUGGAGGGACGGAGAAGGCUAGGCCAGCUUGGCGUUGGUUGUCCAAGUUUAAGGUGGUAGGCUGAGAUCUUAGGUAAAUCCGGGAUCUUAAGGCCGAGAGCUGAUGACGAGUUGCCUUUAGGCGACGAAGUGGUUGAUGCCAUGCUUCCAAGAAAAGCUUCUAAGCUUCAGAUAACUAGGAACCGUACCCCAAACCGACACAGGUGGUUGGGUAGAGAAUACCAAGGCGCUUGAGAGAACUCGGGUGAAGGAACUAGGCAAAAUGGCACCGUAACUUCGGGAGAAGGUGCGCCGGUGAGGGUGAAGGACUUGCUCCGUAAGCCCAUGCCGGUCGAAGAUACCAGGCCGCUGCGACUGUUUAUUAAAAACACAGCACUCUGCAAACACGAAAGUGGACGUAUAGGGUGUGACGCCUGCCCGGUGCCGGAAGGUUAAUUGAUGGGGUUAGCUAACGCGAAGCUCUUGAUCGAAGCCCCGGUAAACGGCGGCCGUAACUAUAACGGUCCUAAGGUAGCGAAAUUCCUUGUCGGGUAAGUUCCGACCUGCACGAAUGGCGUAACGAUGGCGGCGCUGUCUCCACCCGAGACUCAGUGAAAUUGAAAUCGCUGUGAAGAUGCAGUGUAUCCGCGGCUAGACGGAAAGACCCCGUGAACCUUUACUAUAGCUUUGCACUGGACUUUGAAUUUGCUUGUGUAGGAUAGGUGGGAGGCUUUGAAGCGUGGACGCCAGUUCGCGUGGAGCCAUCCUUGAAAUACCACCCUGGCAACUUUGAGGUUCUAACUCAGGUCCGUUAUCCGGAUCGAGGACAGUGUAUGGUGGGUAGUUUGACUGGGGCGGUCUCCUCCUAAAGAGUAACGGAGGAGUACGAAGGUGCGCUCAGACCGGUCGGAAAUCGGUCGUAGAGUAUAAAGGCAAAAGCGCGCUUGACUGCGAGACAGACACGUCGAGCAGGUACGAAAGUAGGUCUUAGUGAUCCGGUGGUUCUGUAUGGAAGGGCCAUCGCUCAACGGAUAAAAGGUACUCCGGGGAUAACAGGCUGAUACCGCCCAAGAGUUCAUAUCGACGGCGGUGUUUGGCACCUCGAUGUCGGCUCAUCACAUCCUGGGGCUGAAGCCGGUCCCAAGGGUAUGGCUGUUCGCCAUUUAAAGUGGUACGCGAGCUGGGUUUAGAACGUCGUGAGACAGUUCGGUCCCUAUCUGCCGUGGACGUUUGAGAUUUGAGAGGGGCUGCUCCUAGUACGAGAGGACCGGAGUGGACGAACCUCUGGUGUUCCGGUUGUCACGCCAGUGGCAUUGCCGGGUAGCUAUGUUCGGAAGAGAUAACCGCUGAAAGCAUCUAAGCGGGAAACUUGCCUCAAGAUGAGAUCUCACUGGAGCCUUGAGCUCCCUGAAGGGCCGUCGAAGACUACGACGUUGAUAGGUUGGGUGUGUAAGCGCUGUGAGGCGUUGAGCUAACCAAUACUAAUUGCCCGUGAGGCUUGACCAUAUAACACCCAAGCAAUU
rnacentral:rRNA from 2 species